UAAGUGCUGUGAAGAGUGAAGACAAGUCUUCUAACAGGUUGGAAGAAUAUCAUAUAUGAUGUUUACCAUCAUUUGAAGAGUCAUUAACCAAUUUAAAAUAAUACCUUAAAAGAUCCAAUCUUUGUUAUGUCUUUGUAAAGCUACUUAUUUCAUUAUAGUUACUUAUAUUUCAUUGAGCAUGCUUACGUUGUUUGUCUUUUUUCCUUUGAGGUUUUGCCAAAUCUACUUAUGCCCUGUCCUCCUAUUCUAUACAGCUCUUGAGAAAGGAUUUUGCAAACCCUUUAGAGUUGGUGUCCAGGUUUCGUUUAAGUAUCCAACAAUUAACAUCCAAAAAUCAUGACACGUGGAAAUGUGUUCAAAUAAAAGAAAUAACAUUUUAACAUAUUGAUUAUUAGUCAUAAUUAGCAAUCCUAGUACCAUCACUGUAUGGCCAGCCUAAUAUUCUCAUUUGCAAAUAGUUCCAUCAAGAGCUACCUCCAUUGUUAUUGCAAGUUCUCCCAACCCUUUCUCAAACUUCCACUCGUGUUACCUUAGGUCUGUCUAUUGUACUGGACUAAGAUAAUUAUUCAACAAUAGUUUUUGUUCAAUACAAAUUGCAUUUAUGCCAGAGGGCAACACUUUUGGCUGACAUCUGUUUAGCACUCAAAGUACCAUGCAAUGUCAUAUAAUGUCCCACUGUAUCCAUAUACCACAGGUGAUAGUACUUGAAAAUUCCUAAAUUUUGAGGUUUGCAAGAACCUUGUCUAGAGUACUGCUAUGAACACAGUCAUGUAGGUUUUUCCAGUUUUAGGGAUGCAAAUCCAAGCAGCAUAGAUUUCAUACAUAUGUAAAAUCAAAGUGAUAUGCAAGAAGGAACUUCAUAACUUGAUGUUAGAAAGCUUAAUGGUUUUUUUUUGAUAGGAUAAGCUUAAUGAUUUAUCAUUGCUAUUAUUAUAUAUGCAAUGCAUAUAUGUAAAAUUGCAUGGUUUAUAUCAUGUUAAAAAAUUCCAAUGAUCCAUUCACCAAUGACAUAAUAGACAAAAUAAUUGAGAGAUUACUAUGAUCCAUUCACCUAUCAACACUCCAUAACAAGAAAAUCCACUAUCAAAGAUAAAAAGCUAUACUAAAAAAUAGUUCAACACCAACCAUCCUAAGCCUUGGAUAAGUCACAACCCCAAAUUCUCAAUCUUCUAGAGGAUAGCCAAGCUUAAGCAAUAUCCUAACCUUUUUUUCUUUUUACCAAAGAGGUGAAAAUUGUCAUAAUUCAUAAUCAACAUUAUAUCAUAAAAAUGGCUUCCAAUCUCUACACCUGGUUUCCAGAUAUCUUCAUCUCUAGCCAAAUACUAUAAGGACAGGAACUUUGCACUGCACAACACUUAAGCCCCAUGCGAAUUCCAACCUUGGUACAGAUAGAUGAGAAAUCUUUCCCGAAUGGAAAACAAAUACAGACAGUAUUACUCAGUGGAGAAUUGGUUUCUUAAGUGUCGUGUACUUGAAAUGUCCAUGUCAUUGAUUUUAUUGAUAAGCAAUAAUGGAGACACUUAGCAUCAAAUUGAAGGCCAAGUACAGCAAAUAGUGAAAACACAUGCUUCAAAGAACAUAGAAUUUCAAGCUAAGUGCUGUGAAGAGUGAAGACAAGUCUUCUAACAGGUUGGAAGAAUAUCAUAUAUGAUGUUUACCAUCAUUUGAAGAGUCAUUAACCAAUUUAAAAUAAUACCUUAAAAGAUCCAAACUUUGUUAUGUCUUUGUAAAGCUACUUAUUUCAUUAUAGUUACUUAUAUUUCAUUGAGCAUGCUUACGUUGUUUGUCUUUUUUCCUUUGAGGUUUUGCCAAAUCUACUUAUGCCCUGUCCUCCUAUUCUAUACAGCUCUUGAGAAAGGAUUUUGCAAACCCUUUAGAGUUGGUGUCCAGGUUUCGUUUAAGUAUCCAACAAUUAACAUCCAAAAAUCAUGACACGUGGAAACGUGUUCAAAUAAAAGAAAUAACAUUUUAACAUAUUGAUUAUUAGUCAUAAUUAGCAAUCCUAGUACCAUCACUGUAUGGCCAGCCUAAUAUUCUCAUUUGCAAAUAGUUCCAUCAAGAGCUACCUCCAUUGUUAUUGCAAGUUCUCCCAACCCUUUCUCAAACUUCCACUCGUGUUACCUUAGGUCUGUCUAUUGUACUGGACUAAGAUAAUUAUUCAACAAUAGUUUUUGUUCAAUACAAAUUGCAUUUAUGCCAGAGGGCAACACUUUUGGCUGACAUCUGUUUAGCACUCAAAGUACCAUGCAAUGUCAUAUAAUGUCCCACUGUAUCCAUAUACCACAGGUGAUAGUACUUGAAAAUUCCUAAAUUUUGAGGUUUGCAAGAACCUUGUCUAGAGUACUGCUAUGAACACAGUCAUGUAGGUUUUUCCAGUUUUAGGGAUGCAAAUCCAAGCAGCAUAGAUUUCAUACAUAUGUAAAAUCAAAGUGAUAUGCAAGAAGGAACUUCAUAACUUGAUGUUAGAAAGCUUAAUGGUUUUUUUUUGAUAGGAUAAGCUUAAUGAUUUAUCAUUGCUAUUAUUAUAUAUGCAAUGCAUAUAUGUAAAAUUGCAUGGUUUAUAUCAUGUUAUGCACUAUAUAUUAGGUUUCAAAGUUUUCAAUUGUAUAUUAACAUUGUCAAGAUGUAUACUGAUCCAUGAAGAGUAUUAGUUGCUAUUCCUAGUUACAUAGUAAAAUUUCAAGUUCUUUAUUCAUGAAUUUCGAAAAUAUCAAUACUAAUUAAAGCUGAUUCCUUGUUUAAAAAAAAAUAACAUGCUCAGAUCAAUCUUUGGUUUCUCUUGCCUUUACUAUAAGGUGCUUCAUCUCUUCAUGACAUUAGUGACCUACUUGUUUUUAGUUCAUUCACAUUUGAUUCAAAAUCUAUAUUGUGACAGCGUAUUUUAUUAAAAACAAAUUGUUUUUGCCUUUGGCAGAACUACCACAUCCAACUAAUGAACCAAUAUGUGUGUGUGUCCUACUUGUUUUUAGUUCAUUCACAUUUGAUUUAAAAAUCUAUAUUGUGACAGUGUACUUUAUUAAAAACAAAUUGUUUUUGCUUUUGGCAGAACUGCCACAUCCAGUGUGUGCAUGCGUGCGUGCGGGCGGGCAGGUGCAUGCAUGUGUGUGUGUAUGUAUGUAACACUAAAACAUAGGCACAUUGCAUUCAUGAUUUGGGGUCAGCAUAAGAAAAGAGUCGAGGGGUUACAUUACCAUGUGCCACUUUGUCACUUCCAAGGUUAAGCAACAUCCUUUUAGAAAGAGUAAUCCUAACCCAUUUAAUUACACACAAAUAGAUAGAUAGACAGAUAGAUAUAGACACAUAUAAGAAUACACCAUGAGUUUGUCAAGCGAGAGUACAAGACAACACUUUAAGCUUUCAGCAUCAUAUGGACAUUUAGAUAUUUGAGAGAAGGCACACAUAUUACUUAUGCUCUUAAGUAAAAACCAUUCAAUUAGUUGUUUCAAAUUAAACUCAUAAAUGCUUUCAAAAAGUUAACUCUGACCUAGGAGGAAGUCUUAGUUGUCUUUAGCAUCUCCAUUCUUUUGUUCUGUGCAAGUAUUAGGCCAAAAAUCAAAGAAUAUAUUUUUUAGGCUGCCUCGUAGAGGCAAGGCAUAUGGUACUAGAAUCUUACUACACCUUAUAUUGUAUCAUGCACCGUAUGGUUCACUCAGAAAACAAAAGUACAAUGUCAUGCUGAUCUAUACCUAAGGAUGCACCUAAGCCAAGAUCUAUCAAUCCGGGCUACAGCUUGGCGGAAAAUUUACUUUGAACUUAAAGUUUGGUAUGAAGCUUAGCCUGUUCUUUAGCAAAUGGAACAUAUUCAAACCAAGCCAGACACAAGCUAUUUUCAUUAGCUCGAUGACCUUAUAUUGUAUCAAGUUGGGAUCAAGCAUGAUCAAAGCUUUGGUUGAACUUGAUUUAAAGCUCAAUAUGAUCUUAAAAUAAAGUUCAACCUGAUUAAAAAAGCAUGAGACACAUUCAAAAAGUAUAAAUUAUUAAUUAAAGUUUAGCAAUUAAUGUAAUCUAUAAAUUAAACACUAAAUAAUGAACCACACAUUUAAAAAAGAAAACCAUAUUAUCAAACACAUUACCACAACAUGAAACAUAAUGUUUUAACUAGACAGAUGGGUAAGGGGCAAGAGAAGAGAGGCAGACACAUAGGAAUUGACAUCCUCACCU
rnacentral:lncRNA from 1 species